rnacentral:tRNA from 1 species
GGGCGCGUAGCUCAGCGGUAGAGCAGCUGACUUUUAAUCAGCGGGUCGAUGGUUCGAUUCCAUCCGCGCUCA